rnacentral:tRNA from 1 species
ACUUAAAUAGUUUAUUAAAAAUAUUGGUUUGUGGUUCCAAUGAUAUAUUUAUUAUUUUAAGUU